GGCGAGAGAUGCUGUGCUCGGACGCUGAGACAGGUGCUGCAUGGCUGUCGUCAGCUCGUGUUGUGAAAUGUUGGGUUAAGUCCCGCAACGAGCGCAACCCUUAUCCUUUGUUGCCAGCGAUCGGUCGGGAACUCAAAGGAGACUGCCGGUGAUAAACCGGAGGAAGGUGGGGAUGACGUCAAGUCAUCAUGGCCCUUACGAGUAGGGCUACACACGUGCUACAAUGGCGCAUACAAAGAGAAGCGACCUCGCGAGAGCAAGCGGACCUCAUAAAGUGCGUCGUAGUCCGGAUCGGAGUCUGCAACUCGACUCCGUGAAGUCGGAAUCGCUAGUAAUCGUGGAUCAGAAUGCCACGGUGAAUACGUUCCCGGGCCUUGUACACACCGCCCGUCACACCAUGGGAGUGGGUUGCAAAAGAAGUAGGUAGCUUAACCUUCGGGAGGGCGCUUACCACUUUGUGAUUCAUGACUGGGGUGAAGUCGUAACAAGGUAGGCGUAGCGAG
rnacentral:rRNA from 1 species